GGGCCAGAAGGUUGGUCGUGCCACCGGUACGUACUGGUCUCACUGAUUCCUCCUUCCUGAAGAACCGUAAUGCCAUUAAUUUGGUGUUGCGGGGAAACAGGACUGUUACUUUGAAAAAAUUAGAGUGUUUAAAGCAAGCUAACGCUUGAAUACAUUAGCAUGGAAUAAUGAAAUAGGACGAUCGAUCCUAUUUUGUUGGUUUCUAGGAUUGACGUA
rnacentral:rRNA from 1 species